rnacentral:rRNA from 1 species
UACGGAGGGUGCAAGCGUUAAUCGGAAUUACUGGGCGUAAAGCGCGUGUAGGCGGUUGUUCAAGUCAGGUGUGAAAGCCUUGAGCUCAACUCAAGAAAUGCACUUGAUACUGGAUGACUAGAGGACCGGAGAGGAUAGUGGAAUUCCCAGUGUAGUGGUGAAAUACGUAGAGAUUGGGAAGAACACCAGUGGCGAAAGGCGGCUAUCUGGGACGGUUUCU